UAAGGUUCAAGCAUGAAACCUUUCCACUGAUUUGCUGUCAUGUUCUUCCCAACUCUGCUUAAGCCUGAUUUAAGAUGUCUACAUACAGUGUUUGCUUAUCUCUCUAUGAAUUGUGCCUGCUCUUCUUGACUCACGAAAAUACUGCAAAAGAAACUUGCUUUGUCUGCCCUGACUCAGGAGAAAUGCAAGUGGCCACGGAUUUGCUCUGGAGGACUAAGUUGAUAGUAUAAACCUGUGGUUCUCAUAAGUAUCCCCAGGCUGCACUAUCAGCAUCACAUGGAAACAUCUCUCAAAAAGGCAUGUCAGAAACUGUGAGGACAGAACCCAGGAGUCUGCUUCAUAAAGCCUUUCAGGUGAUUCAGAUUUUAGCUGCCAGAGUGAGAUCUUGUAUGAGAGCGGGUAACGGAGGCAUUGUGGGAAAGAAGUAUUCAUUAGGAGACAUUCAGUUCAUCAGAAAGCCUUUGGUUAAAUUCUGCAUAAUUGGUUCCUGCUUAAGAUAGACCCUGCAAGAAUCCAGGAGGAGACGUGGGAGUAGAUAAAGAAUGAGUGGAAGAAACAAAAAACAGACACUCCUGGAGAGAAGGAAAGAAAAAAAAAAGGAGUGAAGGAGAGGAAGAAAAGGAGAGAGAACAGGAAUGUUGCUUUAUUCUAAAAAUGGGUAUUCAUAAUGGCAGAUCAAUA